GGGCUGCGAAAGCGGUACCAAUCUGUUGCAAACUCGGAAUACCUGAGAUGAUUUCAAAUAGCCAGUGAGACUAUGGGGGACAAGCUUCAUAGUCAAAAGGGAAACAGCCCAGACCAUCAGCUAAGGCUCCUAAAUAAAAGCUAAGUGGUAAAGGAGGUGAAAAUGCUGUGACAAUCAGGAGGUUUGCCUAGAAGCAGCCACCCUCUAAGGAGUGCGUAAUAGCUCACUGAUCAAGCGUUUUUGCGCCGAAAAUUUCCGGAACUAAGUUUUUUGCCGAAGCUAUGGAUAUAUUAUCUACAUAAUAUGUGGUAGAGGAGCGUUCCGCCCAGGGAGAAGCCAAGCGCGUAAGCCGCGGUGGACAGGGCGGAAGUGAGAAUGUCAGAUUGAGUAACGAAAACACUAGUGAGAAUCUAGUGCCCCGAAAACGUAAGGGUUCCUCUGCAAGGCUCGUCCUCAGAGGGUCAGUCAGGACCUAAGGUGAGGCCGAAAGGCGUAAUCGAUGGAAAGAAGGCUUAUAUUCCUUCACCGUUAUUUUAUUAGUCCUGAGGGACGAACAAAUGAAGCGAAAGAAAUUUGCCACCUUGGCAGGUGGGACAACAAAUUCCUUCUCUCUCCAUUUUUUCCAAGAAAAGCUCAUCGACUUUGAUAAAAUAGCGCCUGUACCGUAAACCGACACAGGUACGUGGGUUGAAUAAACUAAGGGGAGCGAGAUAACUCUCUCUAAGGAACUCGGCAAAUUGGCUCUGUACCUUCGGAAGAAAGAGUGCCCUGCAUAAGGGCCGCAGUGAAGAGAUCCAGGCGACUGUUUACCAAAAACACAGGUCUCCGCAAAGUCGUAAGACGAUGUAUGGGGGCUGACACCUGCCCAGUGCCAGAAGGUUAAAGAAGUUGGUCAAUCUUUGAUGAAGCUAACAACUGAAGCCCUGGUGAACGGCGGCAGUAACUAUAACUGUCCUAAGGUAGCGAAAUUCCUUGUCGGGUAAGUUCCGACCCGCACGAAAGGUGUAACGAUCUGGAUACUGUCUCAGAGAGAGACUCGGUGAAAUAAAACUAUCUGUGAAGAUGCGGAUUACCUGCACACGGACAGAAAGACCCUAUGAAGCUUUACUGUAACCUGGAAUUGCUCUCAAGCUUAUUUUGCGCAGCUUAGGUGGGAGACGUUGAACUUCUUUUUCCGGAAAGGAGGGAGUCAUCAGUGAGAUACCACUCUUGGUAAGCUAGAGCGCUCAUUUUUAACCGUUAUCCGGUAAAAAGACAGUUUCAGGCGGGCAGUUUGACUGGGGCAGUCACCUCCCAAAAGGUAAUGGAGGUGUACAAAGGUUCUCUCAGGCUGGACGGAAAUCAGCCAUAGAGUGUAAAAGCAUAAGAGAGCUUGACUGCGAGACGGACAUGUCAAGCAGAGACGAAAGUCGGUUUUAGUGAUCCGACGGU
rnacentral:rRNA from 1 species